AACGCGAAGAACCUUACCUGGGCUCGAAAUGUAGUGGAAUAGGGUGGAAACAUCCUAGUCUCGCAAGAGACUGCUAUAUAGGUGCUGCAUGGCUGUCGUCAGCUCGUGUCGUGAGAUGUUGGGUUAAGUCCCGCAACGAGCGCAACCCUUAUUGCCAGUUGCCACCGGGUUAUGCCGAGCACUCUGGCGAAACCGCGCGGGAUAACCGCGAGGAAGGUGGGGAUGACGUCAAGUCCUCAUGGCCUUUAUGUCCAGGGCUACACACGUGCUACAAUGGUCGGUACAAACCGUCGCAAACCCGCGAGGGGGAGCUAAUCGGAAAAAGCCGGCCUCAGUUCGGAUUGGAGUCUGCAACCCGACUCCAUGAAGCUGGAAUCGCUAGUAAUCGCGGAUCAGAACGCCGCGGUGAAUACGUUCCCGGGCCUUGUA
rnacentral:rRNA from 1 species